rnacentral:rRNA from 1 species
UACGGAAGGGGCUAGCGUUGUUCGGAAUUACUGGGCGUAAAGAGCGCGUAGGCGGCUUACCAAGUUGGGGGUGAAAUCCCGGAGCUCAACUCCGGAACUGCCUUCAAAACUGGUAGGCUCGAGUCCGGAAGAGGGGCGUGGAAUUCCCAGCGUAGAGGUGAAAUUCGUAGAUAUUGGGAAGAACACCGGUGGCGAAGGCGGCGCCCUGGUCCGGUACUGACGCUGAGGCGCGAAAGCGUGGGGAGCCAACGGG